ACUAGCGAUUCCAACUUCAUGCACUCGAGUUUCAGAGUGCAAUCUGAACUGAGGCGGCUUUUGAGGGUUUGCUCCAGGUCACCCCUUUGCUUCCCAUUGUAACCGCCAUUGUAGCACGUGUGUAGCCCAACCCAUAAGGGCCAUGAGGACUUGACGUCAUCCCCACCUUCCUCCAGCUUAUCACUGGCAGUCCCUCUAAAGUGCCCAACUUAAUGAUGGCAACUAGAGGCGAGGGUUGCGCUCGUUGCGGGACUUAACCCAACAUCUCACGACACGAGCUGACGACAGCCAUGCAACACCUGUCACCGGUCCAGCCGAACUGAAAAAAACCAUUUCUGGUUCUC
rnacentral:rRNA from 1 species